UGGGGAAUAUUGGACAAUGGGCGCAAGCCUGAUCCAGCCAUGCCGCGUGAGUGAUGAAGGCCCUAGGGUUGUAAAGCUCUUUCACCGGUGAAGAUAAUGACGGUAACCGGAGAAGAAGCCCCGGCUAACUUCGUGCCAGCAGCCGCGGUAAUACGAAGGGGGCUAGCGUUGUUCGGAUUUACUGGGCGUAAAGCGCACGUAGGCGGACUUUUAAGUCAGGGGUGAAAUCCCGGGGCUCAACCCCGGAACUGCCUUUGAUACUGGAAGUCUUGAGUAUGGUAGAGGUGAGUGGAAUUCCGCGUGUAGAGGUGAAAUUCGUAGAUAUUCGAAGGAAAACCAGUGGCGAAGACGGCUCACUGGACCAUUACUGACGCUGAGGUGCGAAAGCGUGGGGAGCAAACAGG
rnacentral:rRNA from 1 species